UACGUAGGGUGCAAGCGUUGUCCGGAAUUAUUGGGCGUAAAGAGCUCGUAGGCGGUUUGUCACGUCGGCUGUGAAAACCCGAGGCUCAACCUCGGGCCUGCAGUCGAUACGGGCAGACUAGAGUAUGGCAGGGGAGACUGGAAUUCCUGGUGUAGCGGUGAAAUGCGCAGAUAUCAGGAGGAACACCGGUGGCGAAGGCGGGUCUCUGGGCCAUAACUGACGCUGAGGCGCGAAAGCGUGGGGAGCAAACAGG
rnacentral:rRNA from 1 species